AACGAACGCUGGCGGCAGGCUUAACACGUGCAAGUCGAGCGCCCCGCAAGGGGAGCGGCAGACGGGUGAGUAACGCGUGGGAAUCUACCCAUCUCUACGGAAUAACGCAUGGAAACGUGUGCUAAUACCGUAUACGUCCUUCGGGAGAAAGAUUUAUCGGAGAUGGAUGAGCCCGCGUUGGAUUAGCUAGUUGGUGGGGUAAAGGCCUUCCAAGGCGACGAUCCAUAGCUGGUCUGAGAGGAUGAUCAGCCACACUGGGACUGAGACACGGCCCAGACUCCUACGGGAGGCAGCAGUGGGGAAUAUUGGACAAUGGGCGCAAGCCUGAUCCAGCCAUGCCGCGUGAGUGUUGAAGGCCCUAGGGUUGUAAAGCUCUUUCACCGGUGAAGAUAAUGACGGUAACCGGAGAAGAAGCCCCGGCUAACUUCGUGCCAGCAGCCGCCGUAACAC
rnacentral:rRNA from 1 species